rnacentral:rRNA from 1 species
GCUAGCUCCUGGCCAGCGGCCGGGGUAAGACGGAGGAGGCAAGGGUUAUCCGGAAGUAUUGGGCGUAAAGGGUCCGUAGGGGGCUAGUCAAGGCGGCGGUCAAAGACUGGGGCUUAACCCUGGAAAGGCCGUGGAAACUGACGAGCUAGAGUGCAGUAGGGGUAGAGGGAAUUCCCGGUGUAGCGGUGAAAUGCGUAGAGCUCGGGAAGAACAUCGGUGGCGAAAGCGCUCUACUGGACUGCAACUGACACUCAGGGACGAAAGCUAGGGGAGCGAAUGGGAUUAGAUACCCGGGUAGUC